rnacentral:rRNA from 1 species
GGAGUUAGCCGGUGCUUCUUCUGUGAGUGAUGUCCUUCCUGCCGGUUAUUGACCCGCAGGCCUUCUUCCUCACUGAAAGUGCUUUACAACCCGAAGGCCUUCUUCACACACGCGGCAUGGCUGGAUCAGGGUUGCCCCCAUUGUCCAAUAUUCCCCACUGCUGCCUCCCGUAGGAGUCUGGGCCGUGUCUCAGUCCCAGUGUGGCUGAUCAUCCUCUCAGACCAGCUACGGAUCGUCGCCUUGGUGAGCCGUUACCUCACCAACCAGCUAAUUCGACAUAGGCUCAUCCGAUAGCGCGAGGCCCGAAGGUCCCCCGNUUUCCCCCGUAGGGCGUAUGCGGUAUUAGCCUGGGUUUCCCCAGGUUAUCCCCCACUACCGGGCAGAUUCCUAUGCAUUACUCACCCGUCCGCCGCUCGCCACCAGGGAGCAAGCUCCCCGUGCUGCCGCUCGACUUGCAUGUGUUAGGCCUGCCGCCAGCGUUCAAUCUGAGCCAGAUCAAACUCUGA